rnacentral:lncRNA from 1 species
CAUUCGGAGUGAUCCAAAGUCACGUGGGAUGGGCCCGGAGAGACGGUUGUUGCGGAGGUCGAGGUGCAUGAGGCUCCGGAGGCCGGUAAGGGAGGCUGGGAUUGCACCGGAGAUGCCGUUGUCGGCGACGUUGAGGACGGUGAGGCGGUGGAGCCGGCCGAUGUCGGAGGGGAUUUUACCGAUGAUGCGGUUACCGACAAGGUCGACGAUCCGGAGGAAGGGGAGUGAGGUUAUGCAGCCGGGGAUCUCGCCGGAGAUUCCCUUCCAAUCGGCGAUUGUGAGGCUGGAGAGGCGGUGGAGCUUGCAGAUUGCCGGGGAGAUCCGGCCAGUCAUGUAGCCGGUUUGGUUUGCCUUCUCGAACAUCUUCUCCUCCGACUCGCCGCGGAGGUUGAUGUCGGCGACGCGGUGGGUCCCUCUGUCGCAGCUGAUGCCGUACCACUU